rnacentral:rRNA from 1 species
UCAGUACGGUCGGAAAUCGUACGUAGAGUGUAAAGGCAAAAGAGAGCUUGAUUGCAAGACAUACAGGUCGAGCAAGGAUGAAAAUCGGACUUAGUGAUCCGGUGGUUCUGCGUGGAAGGGCCAUCGCUCAACGGAUAAAAGCUACCCUGGGGAUAACAGGCUUAUCUCCCCCAAGAGUCCACAUCGACGGGGAGGUUUGGCACCUCGAUGUCGGCUCAUCACAUCCUGGGGCUGUAGUAGGUCCCAAGGGUUGGGCUGUUCGCCCAUUAAAGUGGUACGCGAGCUGGGUUCAGAACGUCGUGAGACAGUUCGGUCCCUAUCCGUCGCAGGCGUAGGAAAUUUGAGAAGACCUGUCCUUAGUACGAGAGGACCGGGAUGGACGUACCUCUGGUGUACCAGUUGUCCUGCCAAGGGCAUGGCUGGGUAGCUAUGUACGGAAUGGAUAAGCGCUGAAAGCAUCUAAGCGCGAAGCCAACUUCAAGAUAAGAUUUCCCACCGCAAGGGUAAGACCCCAGAAAGACUAUCUGGUUGAUAGGUCGAAGGUGUAAGUGCAGCAAUGUAUUUAGCUUAUCGAUACUAAUAGGUCGAGGACUUGACCAAU